GAUGAACGCUGGCGGCGUGCCUAAUACAUGCAAGUCGAGCGAACGGACGAGAAGCUUGCUUCUCUGAUGUUAGCGGCGGACGGGUGAGUAACACGUGGAUAACCUACCUAUAAGACUGGGAUAACUUCGGGAAACCGGAGCUAAUACCGGAUGAUAUUUUGAACCGCAUGGUUCAAGAGUGAAAGACGGUCUUGCUGUCACUUAUAGAUGGAUCCGCGCUGCAUUAGCUAGUUGGUAAGGGAACGGCUUACCAAGGCAACGAUGCAUAGCCGACCUGAGAGGGUGCUCGGCCACCCUGGAACUGAGACACGGUCCAGACUACUACGGGAGGCAGCAGUCGGGAAUCUUCCGCAAUGGGCGCAAGCCUGAAGGAGCACCGCCGCGUGAGUGAUGAAGGUCUUCGGAUCGUAAAACUCUGUUAUUAGGGAAGAACAUAUGUGUCAGUAACUGUGCACAUCUUGACGGUACCUAAUCAGAAAGCCACGGCUACCUACGUG
rnacentral:rRNA from 1 species